GGUGUUCAGAGACAAAACCAGUCACACCAUAGACUGGGAAAGAGUCAAAUGUCAUUGAUUAGGAGUCAAUACACGUCUGGAGAGAGAUCAAAGAGGACAUUCACAUCCAAAGCUAGAGACCAUCUUUGAAAAAGCUAAUUGACUCUGGUCAGACGGGGCUGGAGGUCAUUGUUUAACGAGGAACAGAGCUCACAAACAGCGGUGGAAGCAGACGAUGCAUUUACUGAGCUCGAGAUUAAUAAUGAUAACCACAAGCCACACAGCCACACAGAGCCAGUCAGGAAGAUUUAGAAGGAAACUACAUGGCUGAUGAGGAUGUAACAGGUGUACCUGAUUACGAAGACAGUGAUUGACAGCAAGAAUACAUGAGUUAAACGAGGGAGAGCCCAGAGUGUGCCCCGGAGCUUCAGCGUCAGGGGCACACUUCAGCAUCUGCGACCUAAAAGAUGCGUGUAUGUACAGUGUAUAUGUCUUCAAGCCUGUAAGAAAACAGAUACUGUAGUCCUAUUGCUAAGAUGAAUGUGUAUUCACAAUUGAUGUAAUUUUUGUGGAUCUGUCUGAGAAACUGAUUUACAAUA